rnacentral:lncRNA from 12 species
AUGCUAGGAGUCCCUCCGCGACCCUUUGAGGCUAGGAAGCUCCCUGCUGUCCUCCGCGCCAAGGGAGUGGUCUGCGGGAAUCUGCUGCCACCCUGGAGGUCAAAGCCUUUCCCCGCUGUCGUGGCAGGGACCCCAGGAGGUUCCGAGGGCUUGACAGCAGCACCCGGCAGUGAGAGCACACGUGGAGACUCCGGCGCCCCAGGCACGACCUCGGCAGGCAGAGCAGGAACCACUCUAGGUCCUCGGAGUGAACCUUCUGGGACAGGUGAGUGUCUUCCCUGCUGGCUUUGGAGUUCCAAAAGCAAACACAUCUGCCAUUGCCCACUACAAGUCCCGUUGGCUCUGUUAGGAAGCCCUGAUAGGACAUAGGAGGAAGGCUUCGG